rnacentral:rRNA from 1 species
UACGUAAGCGUUGAUCCAGAGAUUUCCGAAUGGGGGAACCCACUAUCUUUAGUCGGAUAGUAUCCUUACGUGAAUACAUAGCGUGAGGAAGGCAGACCCAGGGAACUGAAACAUCUAAGUACCUGGAGGAAGAGAAAGAAAAAUCGAUUUCCUGAGUAGCGGCGAGCGAAACGGAAAGAGCCCAAACCAAGAAGCUUGCUUCUUGGGGUUGUAGGACACUCUAUACGGAGUUACAAAAGAAAGUUAUAAAUGAAGCGGUCUGGAAAGGCCCGCCAAAGACGG